ACGUAUCAAUUUUAAAGCAAUAUGUACAACAAAGAUAAAGCAGGCAAAUUGAGACAAUCUCCAUAUUUUCAAGACGCCUGAGGGGCAACACAGAGAUUUCAACCCUACAUUUAUGUCUCUGAUCUUCACAUUUAAUUAAGUUAUUGAUGAAUUUCACCACCGUUCAUCCUUCUAUCUACCUCUUAAACCCCUAAACAAGCAGUUGAUCGGUCCAUCAUGCAGUUGAUCGGUCCAUCACUUUUUAUAUGAACCUGCAAUCGCUCUUUAGGUGAAGAUUUAUCAUCCAAACGCACAAAAGAUCUUCAUCAUCAUCUUCUACUUCCAAAUUCCCAAAUCUUCCAUCUAGGGUUCCGAUUGAGACUUCCAGAGCUGUAAUCGGUGUUUAAAGGGACGGAUUGAAGCUGAAGGUGUUGUCAUCAAGAAGCCGACCAUGGUUCAGGAGGGAUUCUGAUUCUGUUAUUUCAAAAGUCUCUGAAAUCUUUCAAUUGGGUCUUGAUCACAGGAAUUAUUGUAGGAACCAAAUUCCGUUAUUACCAUCUGUUAUUUUAAAAAAAUACAUAUAAUCUCUCCCCUUUGUUUUAUUACAAAACUGGUCAAUCAAUCGUCGUUUAACCCGCUCGGUAUUAGAGAUUUUUGAUUGCAUAAUCUAAGAUGAUGUACGAACGGUUUUGGUUAGGAUUUACGGUGAAGGAGCGGAUAUUUUCUUUGAUCGCGAAGAGGAAAUUCGGACCUUUGGAUUGAUCUCGACCCACGGGCAUGGCCCGCACCUUCUUGCUAAGUUUCCUGAAGGUAGAGUUGAGGAGUUUAUUCAUGCCAAGUGACCGGAAAGAUUGUUUGAGGGCGUUAUCAGAACAGAGUGAAAAUAGGGGAAGAAAACGGCAAAGGCGUCUUCUAAGCAGCCGUGGUUCAUGACCAAUACGCCAUUAAUUUAGACUUCUGAUACUAAUCAGAUUGUUGUUCCUGAUUUCUUUUGGUGACACUUUUUCUGAUCAUGGAACUUGUGGAUAUGAAAGUGAUAAAGAGGUUUUGUCUGAUUUACGUCGGGACGAUGCACCAAUGCACAUGUUAGGUGGAUCAGGUGACUUGUAUUCCUUGAGGUCCAGAUGAAAGGAGGUCCAGAUGAAAGGACUGAGAAUGUCGUUGGUAGAGAUUUGAUCAACUGUGCCGUUGGUGGAGAUUCGCCUAAAUGCCAUCCAAGAUUUAUGGAAUAUUAAAGGUACAUCUCUAAUUCUUUCUUUCAAUUGCAUUGUAGUUGGAUUGUUUAAGGUUAUAUGAUCAUCGAAGAUUUAUGGAAUAUUAAAAGUACAGUUCUUACUUAUUUAAUUUAUUAUUUUGAAGCAA